AGAUGGAAGGCCAGUGGUAUUUCCUGUGGCUUACCUUGUGGUGACUUGUGGUUAUUUGUAACUUGUGCAACUGAUGGGAACACAGAUGCAAGGAAUCCUUAUAGAGGAAGCAUAUGCCCUGAGAGGGAGAAUGGCCCCACCGAGCUCCUUCCCUGGAUACUACACUCAGCAUAGCAUUAAGCCACCACACCUUUCAACUGUGUCUAUAAGCAUUUGUGCUUCAUCUCUAUUUAUUACAUCUGGAGCAUCCACUAUCAAUUGCUUCUUCCUUUUAAACCACUGGCUUACAAAAGUUUUCAUAAGAAUGUUCUGCUUUUGAAAGUGGUGGUGGUGGUUUAGUUGCUAAGUCAUGUCAGAUUCUUGCAACCCACAUCUCCUGUGUCUCCUGCAUUGGCAGGUGGAUUAUUUACCAUGGAGCCACCUAGGAAGCCUCAUAACAAUUCAUACAAAGCCUUCAUAAUUUUAAUUAUCUCAUAAUUUAUAGCAUAUAUCCUCCAAUUAUAUAUAAUCUCAACCAAACAUGCUCUAACCUAACUCCCAAUUAAAUGAAAUUUUAAAACA